GCUCCCAGACCCUGAGGGCACACAGGGGACCUCUGCUGCAAAUGUUUCUCCUUCACAGAGGCUAGUGAAGAUUAGAAGGAGAAAACGGAGGACGCGGGACGAUAUGUUCACGGAGCUCCAGAUGUCCUCCCACGCUGACAGAGCACAGCAGAAUGCGUGGAGGCAGUCAAUGUCAGACUACAGAAAAGCACAAUAUGAACGAGAGGAGAGGUGGCGGGCUGAGUCGUAGGAUGAACAGAGCAAGUGGUGGGCUGAAGAUGAUAGGUGGCGUCAGCUUGCAGACAGAAGGCAAGAGUCGAUGCUCCGGCUGCUGGAGCAUCAAACUGAUAUGCUCCAGUGUAUGGUUGAGCUGCAGGAAAGGCAGCAGGAGCAGAGACCACCGCUACAGCCCCUGUGUAACCAACAGCCCUCCUCCCCAAGUUCCAUAACCUCCUCACCCAGACACUCAAGAACACGGUGGGGGGGCCUCCGGCCACCCAGUCACUCCACCCCAGAUGAUUGCCCGAGCAUCAGAAGGCUGGCCUUCAAUAAGAGUUAAAGUUUUAAACUGCAGUGUGUCGUUUUCCUUCCCUCCUCCCCCACCCAUCCCGGGCUACCGUGGCAAUUAUCCCCCUAGUUGUGUGAUGAAUUAAUAAAGAAUGCAUGAAUGUGAA